rnacentral:rRNA from 1 species
GAUGAACGCUGGCGGCAUGCCUAAUACAUGCAAGUCGAGCGAACAGACGAGGAGCUUGCUCCUCUGACGUUAGCGGCGGACGGGUGAUUAACACGUGGAUAGCCUACCUCUAAGACUGGGAUGACUACGGGGAACCGGAGCUACUAACGGAUAAUAUAUUGAACCGCAUGGUUCACUAGUUAGAUACGAUUUUUUUUUCACUUUUAGCUGGCUCCGCGUUGCAUUAGCUAGUUGGUAGGGUAAAUGCUUACCAAGGCGACGAUUCAUAGCCGGCCUGAGAGGAUGAUCAGCCACACUGGGACUGAGACACGGUCCAGACUCCUACGGGAGGCAGCAGUGGGGAAUAUUGGACAAUGGGCGAAAGCAUGAUCCAGCAAUGCCGCGUGAGUGAUGAAGGCCGUAGGGUUGUAAAGCUCUUUUACCCGGGAUGAUAAUGACAGUACCGGGAGAAUAAGCUCCGGCUAACUCCGUG